GUGGGUUGCACCAGAAGUAGCUAGUCUGACCGCAAGGGGGACGGUUACCACGGUGUGAUUCAUGACUGGGGUGAAGUCGUAACAAGGUAGCCGUAGGUGAACCUGCAGAAGGAUCA
rnacentral:rRNA from 1 species